AGGUUGUGGCACACAGCAAGCCAAGCAAAGGACUCUGACGUCGUUGUGUUUGGGGGUAGUUGUGACUACGUCCUCCGAGUAGGAACGUAUGAGAAUUUGACGGGCCACAGCAACGAUGCACUUGUUUUCCAGACCCAGCCUUAUCCUCUCUUUCGGAUAUGUGUGGACUGCAUAGCAAAGAAUGUGAAUAACAACAAGAUGCUUCAAAACCAGCUUCCAUCUCUGCCCCGGAAACUACUGGAAGCUGUACAGAGGAGAACAUCCAGAAUUAUAUAAUACAUAUAGUGCAUUCAGAAAGUAUUCAGACACCUAGACGUUUCCCCGAUUUUGUUAUGUUACAGCCUUAUUCUAAAAUUGAUUAAAUUGUUUUUUUCCCCCUCAGCAAUCUACACACAAUAACCCAUAAUGACAAAGCAAAAAUAGGUUUUUAGACAUUUUUGCAAAUGUAUAAAAAUAAAAAAUUGGGGUGAAAUAUCACAUUUCUGAAAGUAUUCAGACCCUUUACUCAGUACUAUGUCAAAGUAAUUUUGGCAGCGAUUACAGUCUUGAGUCUUAAUUGGGUAUGACGCUACAAGCUUGGCACACCUGUAUUUGGGGAGCUUCUCCCAUUCCUCUCUGCAGAUCCUCUCAAACUCUGUCAGGUAGGAUGGGGAACGCCUCUGCACAGCUCUUUUCAGGUCUCUCCAGAGAUGUUCAAUCGGGUUCAAGUCCGGGCUCUGGCUGGGCCACUCAAGGACAUUCAGAGACUUGUCCCGAAGCCACUCCUGCGUUGUCUUGGCUGUGUGCUUAGGGUCGUUGUCCUGAUGGAAGGUGAACCUUCAUCCCAGUCUGAGAUCCUGAGUGCUCUGGAGCAGGCUUUCAUCAAGGAAAGGGAAGGGGGGAUACCUAGUCAGUUGUACAACUGAAUAUUUUCAAAUUAAACAUGUCUUCUGCAUUUAACCCAACCCCUUUGAAUCAGAGGGGGGCUACCUUAAUUGACAUCCACGUCAUUGGCGCCCAGGAAACAGUGUGUUAACUGCCUUACUUAGAGACAGAACGACAUAUUGUUACCCUCGGGAUCUCUUUGUACUUUACUCCUUUCAUCUUUGCCUCGAUCCUGACUAGUCUCCCAGGUUUCCUCCAGACGUGACCCUUGGCAUUCAGGCCAAAGAGUUCAAUCUUGGUUUCAUCAGACCAGAGAAUCUUGUUUCUCAUGGUCUUUAAGUGCCUUCUGGAAAACUCCAAGCGAGCUGUCAAGUGGCUUCCGUCUGGCCACUCUACCAUAAAGCCCUGAUUGGUAGAGUGCUGCAGAGAUGGUUGUCCUUCUGGAAGGUUCUCCCAUCUCCACAGGGGAACUCUAGAGCUUUGUCAGAUUGACCAUCGGUUUCUUGGUCACCUCCCUAACCAAUACCCUUUCCCCCGAUUGCUUAGUUUGGCUGGGCGGCCAGCUCUAGGAAGGGUCUUGGUGGUUCCAAACCUCUUCCAUUGAAGAAUGAUGGAGAGUUCUUUUUGUUUUUUUAAAUACAUUUUAGAAUAAGGCUGUAACGUAACAUAAUACCUUCCGAAGGCCGUGUAUAGUAAAUCUAUUAAAGAUUAUUUCACAGAGAUGGUAUUCAACAGUAGAGGCUGCAGUAAGGUGAUAAUGCAGAACAGUAGAGGCUGCAGUAAGGUGAUAAUGCAGAACAGUAGAGGCUGCAGUAAGGUGAUAAUGCAGGACAGUAGAGGCUGCAGUAAGGUGAUAAUGCAGGACAGUAGAGGCUGCAGUAAAGUGAUAAUGCAGGACAGUAGAGGCUGCAGUAAAGUGAUAAUGCAGGACAGUAGAGGCUGCAGUAAGGUGAUAAUGCAGAACAGUAGAGGCUGCAGUAAAGUGAUAAUGCAGAACAGUAGAGGCUGCAGUAAAGUGAUAAUGCAGAACAGUAGAGGCUGCAGUAAAGUGAUAAUGCAGAACAGUAGAGGCUGCAGUAAAGUGAUAAUGCAGGACAGUAGAGGCUGCAGUAAGGUGAUAAUGCAGAACAGUAGAGGCUGCAGUAAAGUGAUAAUGCAGAACAGUAGAGGCUGCAGUAAAGUGAUAAUGCAGGACAGUAGAGGCUGCAGUAAGGUGAUAAUGCAGAACAGUAGAGGCUGCAGUAAGGUGAUAAUGCAGAACAGUAGAGGCUGCAGUAAGGUGAUAAUGCAGAACAGUAGAGGCUGCAGUAAAGUGAUAAUGCAGGACAGUAGAGGCUGCAGUAAGGUGAUGAAUGCAGAACAGUAGAGGCUGCAGUAAGGUGAUAAUGCAGAACAGUAGAGUCUGCAGUAAGGUGAUGAAUGCAGAACAGUAGAGGCUGCAGUAAAGUGAUAAUGCAGGACAGUAGAGGCUGCAGUAAGGUGACAAAUACAGGCUGCAGUAAGGUGAUGAAUGCAAAACAGUAGAGUCUGCAGUAAGGUGAUGAAUGCAGAACAGUAGAGGCUGCAGUAAGGUGAUAAUGCAGAACAGUAGAGGCUGCAGUAAAGUUAUAAUGCAGGACAGUAGAGGCUGCAGUAAGGUGACAAAUACAGAACAGUAGAGUCUGCAGUAAGGUGAUGAAUGCAGAACAGUAGAGGCUGCAGUAAGGUGAUAAUGCAGGGCAUUAGAGGCUGCAGUAAAGUGAUAAUGCAGGUUAAGUAGGGACAUUCUGUCCUGCAAAACAUUUAUUCACGUAUUAUACCGUGUAUAAAACCCCACAAGUCAAUGACCGACCUUGAUUAAAUACUUAUUAUAAUUUUGCACACUGAAUUUUGCAUAUUUCAUCGAGCCCAGUCAUUGUCUCUUCAAGUGUGUCGUUCUCUAGGCCUAGGGCUAGGGUUAGGGCUAGGGAUAGGGUUAGGGUUAG